GGAGGAUGCGAGCGUNAUCCGGAUNNAUUGGGUNUAAAGGGAGCGUGGACGGCCGUNUAAGUCAGCNGUGAAAUGGUGCGGCUCAACCGUAGCACUGCAGUUGAAACUGGUCGGCUUGAGUGCAGUUGAGGCAGGCGGAAUUCGUGGUGUAGCGGUGAAAUGCUUAGAUAUCACGAAGAACCCCGAUUGCGAAGGCAGCCUGCUAAGCUGCAACUGACGUUGGGGCUCGAAAGUGUGGGUAUCAAACAGGAUUAGAUACCCUGGUAGUCCACACGGUAAACGAUGGAUACUCGCUGUUGGCGAUAUACGGUCAGCGGCCAAGUGAAAACGUUAAGUAUCCCACCUGGGGAGU
rnacentral:rRNA from 1 species